UACGAAGGGGGCUAGCGUUGUUCGGAUUUACUGGGCGUAAAGCGCACGUAGGCGGAUUGUUAAGUCGGGGGUGAAAUCCUGGAGCUCAACUUCAGAAUUGCCUUCGAUACUGGCUUUCUAGAGGCUGGAAGAGGUUAGUGGAAUUCCCAGUGUAGAGGUGAAAUUCGUAGAUAUUGGGAAGAACACCAGUGGCGAAGGCGGCUAACUGGUCCAGAUCUGACGCUGAGGUGCGAAAGCGUGGGGAGCAACAGG
rnacentral:rRNA from 1 species